AACACGCUCCUUAGAUCCACUUCUGGAGGAGCUGCUGUCAGUCCCUGGCAGUGAGCUCCUCGCAGCUUCCUGCUGUACAGUGCUUGAGUCAUUGGCGUGUGAGAUCAGUCUACCUGCCUCUCAGCCACCCUGCUGCACUGGCAACUCUGCCCUCUACAGGCGGGGAGCUCCCACUGCAGCUAGGCUGGGGGGCGGACACC
ensembl:snoRNA small nucleolar RNA SNORA53